rnacentral:rRNA from 1 species
GACGAACGCUGGCGGCGUGCCUAAUACAUGCAAGUCGAACGCAGUGGGGACGGGGGAGGAACACGUGGGUAACCUCCCAUCAGAAGGGAUAAGACUUGGAAACAGGUGCUAAACCGAUACUGAUGGAUGAACCAGCGGUGCAUUAGCUAGUUGGUGAGGUAACGUCUCACCAAGGCCACGAUGCAUAGCCGGUCUGAGAGUGUGAUCGGCCGCACUGGGACUUAGACACGGCCCAGACUCCUACGGGAGGCAGCAGUAGGGAAUCUUCGACAAUGGACGAAAGUCUGAACCAGCCACGCCGCGUGAGUGAAGAAGGUUUUCGGAUCGUAAAACUCUGUUGGUCGAGAGGCGGUAUCUAACCAGAAAGCCCCGGCUAACUCCGUGCCAGCAGCCGCGGUAAUUC